rnacentral:rRNA from 1 species
UACGUAGGGCGCAAGCGUUGUCCGGAAUUAUUGGGCGUAAAGGGCUCGUAGGCGGUUUGUCGCGUCGGGAGUGAAAUCCACUGGCUUAACUGGUGGCUUGCUUUCGAUACGGGCAGACUGGAGGUAUGCAGGGGAGAACGGAAUUCCUGGUGUAGCGGUGAAAUGCGCAGAUAUCGGGAGGAACACCGGUGGCGAAGGCGGUUCUCUGGCCGUUACCUGACGCUGAGGAGCGAAAGCAUGGGG